rnacentral:misc_RNA from 1 species
GGGUCUGUUACUGAAGAUGUGGUGACAGGGUAUAGGAUGCAUAAUAGAGGUUGGAGAUCUAUUUAUUGUGUGACAAAGAGAGAUGCAUUCCGUGGCACUGCACCAAUCAAUCUUACUGACAGGCUUCACCAAGUGCUUCGAUGGGCUACUGGUUCUGUUGAAAUCUUCUUCUCUCGCAACAAUGCUUUUUUGGCUAGUCCUAAGAUGAAAAUUUUGCAGCGGAUCGCCUACCUCAACUGCGGCAUCUACCCUUUCACCUCGAUUUUCUUAAUCGUGUACUGCUUCCUCCCAGCACUUUCACUAUUCUCUGGUCAGUUCAUCGUCCAGUCCCUGAACGUCACCUUCCUCACAUAUCUCCUCGUGAUUACAUUGACUCUCUGCGCACUCGCAGUGCUUGAGAUCAAGUGGUCCGGCAUUGCCCUGGAAGAGUGGUGGCGUAAUGAGCAGUUUUGGUUAAUUGGAGGUACAAGUGCCCAUCUUGCUGCUGUGCUUCAGGGGCUUCUAAAAGUGAUUGCUGGCAUUGAAAUUUCAUUUACCCUGACAUCAAAAUCUGCCACUGAUGAUGAUGAUGAAUAUGCUGAUCUCUAUAUCAUCAAAUGGACUUCCCUGAUGAUCCCACCUAUUGUUAUCAUGAUGACUAACUUGAUUGCGAUAGCUGUUGGUGUAAGCCGGACAAUAUAUAGCACAAUACCACAAUGGAGCCGUUUACUCGGAGGGGUUUUCUUCAGUUUUUGGGUCCUUGCUCAUCUCUAUCCUUUCGCUAAGGGACUAAUGGGAAGACGCGGAAGGACACCAACAAUCGUAUUUGUCUGGUCAGGACUUAUCGCCAUCACCAUUUCGCUGCUGUGGGUUGCCAUUAACCCCCCUGCUGGUGCCAGUGAAAUUGGAGGUUCAUUCCAGUUCCCUUGAUAGUUCCAUUAUGCAUUCCAUUCAGAUUAUUCUUUAGUUUUUCUACUUCUUUUUCUUCCCUCUUUGUAACAAAAUGUGGACACAAAGGCCUUGAAUAUUAUGUGGAUUUUGCCACCACUAUUGUCCUUGAAUUUUUGUUUUAUGGUUCAAUGUUCAUUAGGAAAAUGGCAAAACAUACAAUACAUUGUUUGUAAAUCAAAG